rnacentral:tRNA from 1 species
GGGCACUUAGCUCAGUUGGUACGAGCGCUUCCUUCACACGGAAGAGGUCAGAGGUUCGAGCCCUCUAGUGCCCACCA